UGCGCAAAUGAUGACACAACAGACAGGGACAUCAGUACUCCUAGGAGAAUGUUGACUCGUCUAAUGGGAAUCUCUCUGAUGCGUC